AACGCACAUUGCGCCCUUGGGUAUUCCUGGGGGCAUGCCUGUUUGAGAACCAUGACGUACCUCACCCAAAACCUCUUUGCUCAAUCGUGAGCUUUGAGGUUGCGGCGUGGACUUGGGCCAUCUCGAAGACUCUUUGUGUUUUGAGUGGUCUUAAAUGCAGAUGAUCGAGGAAUCAGUUAAACCGUGCUCAAGACGUGAUAAUAUGGUUGCUUUCGAAGCACACCGUUUGAACGUCGAGAACUAUGCCGGGAUUUGAUUCCGCGACUGCGAAUUAAAAUAACGUGCCAGGCGACCUCGAAAAGAAGUCGAACACCUGAACAACUUGGUCUCAAAUCAGGCAAGAAAACCCGCUGAACUUAA
rnacentral:misc_RNA from 1 species